UAACAACAAAAAAUGGCGACAAUCACGUUGUACAAUGUGGUCUUGCUGCGUCAUUAGAAAAUGUUCGUGGAAAUACAGGGAAAAAAACAAGCAAAGUACUGAAAGGCGAUGCUCAGAAUCGUUAGAUGGCUGAGCGAGGAGGGCGGAGCGACUGGGGGAGGAGGCUUCUCUGAAGAGGCAGUGUGACUGGACUGCUGGAAAGAAACAGCGAUCCGAGGGUGGAGUCGCAGCAGAGACCAUAACAAGUUUGACGUGCGUGUUUCGUGUUUCGAGGCAAAGGAUGAUGUGUAGGAUUGCUUCAACUCUGACCCCGUUACACUGCGGAAUCUAUACCUCGGCUUGAUGUGACAGGCUGCCCUGGCUCAGUUAUCACAGUGCUGAUGCUGUCCGUCUUAAAGGUACAGUACUGUGAUAACUGAAGGAUGGCAGCCAUCUUGGCAGCAGAGGUCCUUCGGUGUAAAAGAAGCAUGGAUCUUGGAUGAAAGAGCAAGAAAGGUUAGAGGGUAAAGAAGAACGGAAAACAGCUGUAAAAUAAAUAAAAUAAUUGUCUUGAGCAUCGAAUUAGUCACAGCUGGGAAAUUCAGUUAUGCUGUGCUGUUUGCAUGUUCACAUCAUUCUGGAGAGCAGUUUUUAAGAAACAAAAGUCCAAAGCAUAAAGAAAGCAAACCUUUCUUUGUCCAAGAAGUAUGUGUGAUGUAGCUUUAAAGGUUCUAUACUGUUCUUCAGGGAAUUGUCCCAUCGCCUCACAUAUUUCACCUGCACACCCUUCAUGAUGCCUACAUUUAUCCCACCAAAGAAAAACAGGAAAUCAGGGCAAGUAUAAAUGAAUUGUCAUCCAACUGCACUUGGAACUGAGCAAAGAUGCCCGAUUUGUUUCCAUCAUUCUUGUUUAUUCAUUUUUGUAAGAUUGCAUCUUUUUCCUUUCGUAUUUGUUUAGCAGUAACUAAACCAUGCUUUACAUUGUUUAAGAUAAUCACAUGUAAUGUCUGCAGUGAGGUGUAGUAAGUGAUUUUAAAGCCAUUUACUUUAUCUCUGAUAAUAUUGCUGGUUUGCCUUCCGCUAAUUUUAAGACCUAUAGGGAAAUAUGUAUUUAUAUCUGCUUUUUGUACUCUAAAGCAUCUACUCAAAUAAUAUUACUUUACCAGGAUCUUAAUAUUGUUCUAAAUAAUAAAUGAGGUUUUUCUUAAUAUCAUGAAACAUUUAACCCCUUUUACUCAUUUUUUUUUUUAUUAAGUACAUACUUUAACUUUUAGAUGCUAAAAACAUCUAUCUAAUGCAGUGCUGUUUGCUGUUAUUAUAUAGUGGUGAAAGUGGACUAAAGUUACUUAUAGUCUUUAAUCUUUUUUUUCAUAGAUGUUCUGUUUUCAUGUAAUUUUUUGUGCCUUUUUUCUCAAAUCUCAUUUUUUUUUACUGGAUUUUUCAAUAAUUUACAGGUAUAUAGAAUCCCUGACCUCUGUGCCAAAGUUGUUCCCCUAAUUAUAUGACCAUGAACACAAAAGCAUUUUAAAACAUGUUGUACAAUUCAAUUAUAGUAAAAGCUAAAGGAUAAUUGUUAUACUUAACAUUGAGCACAAUCUAAAACGCAGUUGCCAUUAGAAAAGGGCAUUCCAACAAGGGGAUUUUUUUCUGUUAAUUUUCCAUUCAAAUACACCCACUGUGCCUGCUGGCAAAUAUUCUGUACCUUUUUGCAUUUUUAAGUUUGGUUUGAGCAGGGACAAUUUUCCUAAACUUGAUGCUUGAGGGGUAUGUUAUUUGUAUUGUAAUUUUAUUAAAAGUGAAAUGGAAAAACAAA